AUGGCUGCAGGACAGGAGGAGCUCAGGAGGGCUGUCUCUGCAGUACUUCCGGACCUCCCCGCAGACGCACUAACUACCUUGAUGGCAGGCCUGGAGGAACUUGGUGUAGAGAACAAGGAGGACAUGAGCCUUCUAAGUGAAGAGAAUCUUCUGCCCUUUCUCCGUGUGGUCCAGUCUAGAAAGCUCCUCCGUGCCUUUUCAUCUCAAGGUUACUUCUCAGUCCUGUCUCCUCCUGGCUCUCCACAACUCUCCUCAACCCUGUCCCCCGCAGGAAGUCCACAACUCUCCUCACCUGAGACACCCCGAACAUCCAACCCAAUAGCUCUGCCCUCACCACGCACACCAUGGCCUGUACAUUUUAAGGUUAACUGGGAAAAGAUGACAUCAGAGAUCCAGUCAGCCAUCGCAAAUUCUACUAGCCCAAAUCCUGCAGAAGAGCGAUGGUCAGAGAGCUUGUCGAUCAAAUGAGGGUGCACAAUGCAAAUCCAAAUAGAGGGAUCUGUUUGAAAGUUGUAAACGAUAUAAUACAGAAGUACCCCACAUGUUUUGGGGAUGUGGACGAUGGUGAAAAUACAGCUGGAGCAUCGUUCGUCCAGCAAGUAAAAACCAGAAUCGAGCACGUCAACCGAAACAACACAUUGGCACGGUUAAGAAAGAAUAAGCACAGCAAUCCCCAGGCGAGGACAAAUGGAAGAGGUCCUGUUGAUCAGUAUGGAUGUGUCAGAUGGGCACCUCAAGAACUCCCCUCAGGGGAGACUGAAGAAACCCUACAAGAGAUGAAGACUCAGAUGCAGCAGCUAU